UUGCUGGGUGGAUUAGUGGCGAACGGGUGAGUAAUACGUGAGUAACCUGCCCUUGACUCUGGGAUAAGCCUGGGAAACUGGGUCUAAUACUGGAUACUACCKYYCWYCGCAUGGUGGGUGGUGGAAAGGGUUUUACUGGUUUUGGAUGGGCUCACGGCCUAUCAGCUUGUUGGUGGGGUAAUGGCUCACCAAGGCGACGACGGGUAGCCGGCCUGAGAGGGUGACCGGCCACACUGGGACUGAGACACGGCCCAGACUCCUACGGGAGGCAGCAGUGGGGAAUAUUGCACAAUGGGCGGAAGCCUGAUGCAGCGACGCCGCGUGAGGGAUGACGGCCUUCGGGUUGUAAACCUCUUUCAGUAGGGAAGAAGCGAGAGUGACGGUACCUGCAGAAGAAGCGCCGGCUAACUACGUGCCAGCAGCCGCGGUAAUACGUAGGGCGCAAGCGUUGUCCGGAAUUAUUGGGCGUAAAGAGCUCGUAGGCGGUUUGUCGCGUCUGCUGUGAAAGCCCGGGGCUCAACCCCGGGUCUGCAGUGGGUACGGGCAGACUAGAGUGCAGUAGGGGAGACUGGAAUUCCUGGUGUAGCGGUGAAAUGCGCAGAUAUCAGGAGGAACACCGAUGGCGAAGGCAGGUCUCUGGGCUGUUACUGACGCUGAGGAGCGAAAGCAUGGGGAGCGAACAGGAUUAGAUACCCUGGUAGUCCAUGCCGUAAACGUUGGGCACUAGGUGUGGGGGACAUUCCACGUU
rnacentral:rRNA from 1 species